rnacentral:rRNA from 1 species
CCUACGGGAGGCAGCAGUGAGGAAUAUUGGUCAAUGGACGAGAGUCUGAACCAGCCAAGUAGCGUGAAGGAUGACUGCCCUAUGGGUUGUAAACUUCUUUUAUAUGGGAAUAAAAUGUUCCACGUGUGGGAUUUUGUAUGUACCCUAUGAAUAAGGAUCGGCUAACUCCGUGCCAGCAGCCGCGGUAAUACGGAGGAUCCGAGCGUUAUCCGGAUUUAUUGGGUUUAAAGGGAGCGUAGGUGGAUUGUUAAGUCAGUUGUGAAAGUUUGCGGCUCAACCGUAAAAUUGCAGUUGAUACUGGCAGUCUGGAGUACAGUAGAGGUGGGCGGAAUUCGUGGUGUAGCGGUGAAAUGCUUAGAUAUCACGAAGAACUCCGAUUGCGAAGGCAGCUCACUGGACUGCAACUGACACUGAGGCUCGAAAGUGUGGGUAUCAAACAGGAUUAGAUACCCGGGUAGUC